GGUGAGAUUCCCGAGCGGCCAAAGGGAGCAGACUGUAAAUCUGCCGUCAUCGACUUCGAAGGUUCGAAUCCUUCUCUCACCA
rnacentral:tRNA from 1 species